CCUACGGGAGGCAGCAGUGGGGAAUUUUGGACAAUGGGCGAAAGCCUGAUCCAGCAAUGCCGCGUGCAGGAUGAAGGCCUUCGGGUUGUAAACUGCUUUUGUACGGAACGAAACGGUUCUUUCUAAUAAAGAGAGCUAAUGACGGUACCGUAAGAAUAAGCACCGGCUAACUACGUGCCAGCAGCCGCGGUAAUACGUAGGGUGCAAGCGUUAAUCGGAAUUACUGGGCGUAAAGCGUGCGCAGGCGGUUAUGUAAGACAGUUGUGAAAUCCCCGGGCUCAACCUGGGAAUUGCAUCUGUGACUGCAUAGCUAGAGUACGGUAGAGGGGGAUGGAAUUCCGCGUGUAGCAGUGAAAUGCGUAGAUAUGCGGAGGAACACCGAUGGCGAAGGCAAUCCCCUGGACCUGUACUGACGCUCAUGCACGAAAGCGUGGGGAGCAAACAGGAUUAGAUACCCUGGUAGUCCACGCCCUAAACGAUGUCAACUGGUUGUUGGGUCUUCACUGACUCAGUAACGAAGCUAAACGCGUGAAAGUUGACCGCCUGGGGAGUACGGCCGCAAGGUUGAAAACUCAAAAUGAAAUUGACGGNUGAGACAGCGAGAGACACGAGGGAGGAGG
rnacentral:rRNA from 1 species